rnacentral:lncRNA from 1 species
CUGUGCCUUUGUAUGUUGGCAGUAUUUAAUUUUCUUUUGAUUUUUACAAGGGCUCACAGCUAAGAGGCUGCCCUAUGUCUCAGAGGAGACUUGGGACUUGGACUUCAGGAAUGUUUGAACUAUUACAAAUUUGGCAAUUCUUAAAGAUGGACUCAGUGCAGAUUUCAUAAAGAGUAGGUUUGGUGAAAUGGUGUGCAAUGCCUUUCCCGAAGCCAAAGGAAGAAAGAAAGGAGAAAUGUUAAGACUGCCUUGAAGCAGAGCCCGGAGCAGCCCCGGAGCCGAGUCCCCCGUGCUGAGGCCCACGGGGGUCUGCGGCUGGGCCUCGUCUCCCCGCGCUCCACAGCUCAGAGCCCCGCUCUUGUUCGGCUUCAGCGAUGACGCCCCCCCCAUUGCACCUGUGUUCAGGUCUUCCGCCGGAAUGGUGGCUGCUGGCGUUCCGUUUGGGCCUGCUGGUUCUGCCCGCCGGGUGAUCCUCCUCUCCGGUUUUCGGCAGGUGGUGGGGUUGGGGUCCGGUUCAGGCUCAGUUCCCAGUGUGGUUGGAUCUGGCUCAGGGUUUUCCCGCGUGUAAACGUCUGCCCACGCUUAGAGCAGAGAAGGCCGCAGCUGCAAGGCUGGGGUCAUGCAGGGCCGGGGAGGGGCUGUUUGUGGUGGAAGCGCUGUCACAGUGGGCGUGGAGGUAAGGCUCCUCCCCGUGUGGGCACACGUAUGCACGAUCACGCUCCUCCCCGUCCACAGCACAAUCGCACUGGUCACACUUAGCGCGUUUCUCGCUCUCGUGUGACUUGCGAGGCCGCGUGAGGGCACAGCGCUCACGAAUCAGCGUGGCAGUAAAGGGCCUUGCUCGCCUUGCUCGGUAAGGAAUGCUGCUUUCGAGAGUGGACCCCAGAUCGCUUUUGGGCUAUGACAGUGUCAGUGGGACAAUGAAGCUCAGCCACAUUUUGUGGGCUUCUGUGAGAUGCGCGUCUUCGUGCACGGCUCUGGGUAAACCGAGCGUGACAAACGUAACAUUCAUAAGGUUUUCCCUGAAGGGGUUCUCCCGAGCCUCGUGAGCUUCGUGUAUCCUGCGAGCACAACUGCACAGCUGCACGACUGUGCUGGUGGCUGGCGGCGGACGUGCCCGUCUAAUUUGCUGACUCCUACGCUGGCAUCGCCACCCGCGGGACACUUAGAUGGCCUCUCCGGGAUGUGUUCGUGACGACAAUGCCUCACCUGUCUCCCCUGGCCACAAAGGCCGGGCCAUAGCCUGGGCACCGAGGACGGCCGCCCAGGUGGGCAUCAAGGUGAUUCUGCAGGAGGCUGACUUCUGAAUGCCCUGCCGAGAGAGCUCUCGCGUGGUUUCACAUCAGUGUGGCUUUUCAUGGGACCACCCAAAUUUGAGCAGCUCCGUGGACGCGUGCAACUGCAAAGCUACACUGGAGUGACUUCUUCACCUUUCUUUUACACUUUCGUUGGCUCUGGAGGCCCCCUCUCACCAGCUACCUUUUCUGCGUUGACCUCCGACCUCCGACCUUCCUGCUUUCCUUCCUCAGUUGUAGACGGACACAUCCACGUCUUCGCUCUCCUCUGUGUAGUGCAGUUUGCUCUGUUUGGUUUUCUUUGUUUUUUGGCUGGGGGCUGAUAGCCUGGGUCUUUUUGCCAGCGAGGCUCUUCCUGAGGCGGAAGUUCCCCUAGCGCUAGAGUCUCCACCUCCACUGGCCCCGCUUUCACCACCCGAAGCCCUGCAGGCAAAGAAAAGGCGAGACGUGGCGUGGGUUCGCUUUCUGCAAGGCCCUCUCUAGCUCUUCACUCUCGUGAGGCCCCUGAAGUUCUUCUCGUGCAGUGGCAGCAACAGGUACAGUUGCAGGAGCAGGUACUGAACAAGUCGAGGCUCUCCUACGUUUACAGGCUGUUCUUCCACACUGAAGACCUGCGCUCUGCGCAUUGUCUGCAGCCGCCUCUGCGCACCUGCACCGGCCACUGCUGUGACCUCUACCGCCCUUCCUUUUAUUAUUUUUGAGAGAAAAUUUUGCUGCAUAUAUAAUUCAAGGUUGCUGCUUUUUUCUUUCAACACUUUAAAUAUUGCACUCUUCUCUCUUCUUGCUUCAGUGUUUUUGUUUUUGUUUUCUGAGACAGGAUCUCAAUAGAUAGCCCAAGCUGGCCUCGAACUCAUGGCGAUCCUCCUGCCUCAGCCUGCUGAGUGCUGAGAUUACAAGUGUGCGCCACCAUGCAUGGUACAAUGGUUUUUAGAGGAGCACUGGGGAUUGAAGUUGUAGCCUUUGCCCUGAGCCACAUCUUCUGCCUUGUCUUUAUUUUUUAUUUUGAGACAGGGUCUCGAUAAGUCACUAAUUUUCC